GUGAGGAAUUUUCCGCAAUGGGCGAAAGCCUGACGCAGCCAUGCCGCGUGAAUGAUGAAGGUCUUAGGAUUGUAAAAUUCUUUCACCGGGGACGAUAAUGACGGUACCCGGAGAAGAAGCUCCGGCUAACUUCGUGCCAGCAGCCGCGGUAAUACGAAGGGGGCUAGCGUUGCUCGGAAUUACUGGGCGUAAAGGGCGCGUAGGCGGACAGCUUAGUCAGAGGUGAAAGCCCAGGGCUCAACCUUGGAAUUGCCUUUGAUACUGGCUGUCUUGAGUUUGGGAGAGGUGAGUGGAACUCCGAGUGUAGAGGUGAAAUUCGUAGAUAUUCGGAAGAACACCAGUGGCGAAGGCGACUCACUGGCCCAAUACUGACGCUGAGGCGCGAAAGCGUGGGGAGCAAACAGGAUUAGAAACCCUAGUAGUCC
rnacentral:rRNA from 1 species